UGGGAAUUUUGGACAAUGGGGCAACCCUGAUCCAGCAAUGCCGCGUGUGUGAAGAAGGCCUUCGGGUUGUAAAGCACUUUUGUCCGGAAAGAAAACGUCGUGGUUAAUACCCGUGGCGGCUGACGGUACCGGAAGAAUAAGCACCGGCUAACUACGUGCCAGCAGCCGCGGUAAUACGUAGGGUGCAAGCGUUAAUCGGAAUUACUGGGCGUAAAGCGUGCGCAGGCGGUCCGCUAAGACAGAUGUGAAAUCCCCGGGCUUAACCUGGGAACUGCAUUUGUGACUGGCGGGCUAGAGUAUGGCAGAGGGGGGUAGAAUUCCACGUGUAGCAGUGAAAUGCGUAGAGAUGUGGAGGAAUACCGAUGGCGAAGGCAGCCCCCUGGGCCAAUACUGACGCUCAUGCACGAAAGCGUGGGGAGCAAACAGGAUUAGAUACCCUGGUAGUCCACGCCCUAAACGAUGUCAACUAGUUGUCGGGUCUUCAUUGACUUGGUAACGUAGCUAACGCGUGAAGUUGACCGCCUGGGGAGUACGGUCGCAAGAUUAAAAACUCAAAGGAAUU
rnacentral:rRNA from 1 species